UACGGGGGGGGCAAGCGUUGUUCGGAAUUACUGGGCGUAAAGGGCUCGUAGGCGGCCAACUAAGUCAGACGUGAAAUCCCCAGGCUUAACCUGGGAACUGCGUCUGAUACUGGAUGGCUUGAGAUUGGGAGAGGGAUGCGGAAUUCCAGGUGUAGCGGUGAAAUGCGUAGAUAUCUGGAGGAACACCGGUGGCGAAGGCGACAUCCUGGACCAACACUGACGCUGAGGAGCGAAAGCCAGGGGAGCAAACGGG
rnacentral:rRNA from 1 species